UACAGAGACUGCAAGCGUUAUUCGGAUUCACUGGGCGUAAAGGGUGCGCAGGCGGUUGGGUGUGUCAGAUGUGAAAUCCCGAGGCUCAACCUCGGAACUGCGUCUGAAACUACUCGACUAGAGUACUGGAGAGGGAAACGGAAUUCACGGUGUAGCAGUGAAAUGCGUAGAUAUCGUGAGGAACACCAGAGGCGAAGGCGGUUUCCUGGACAGUUACUGACGCUCAGGCACGAAAGCAUGGGGAGCAAAAGGG
rnacentral:rRNA from 1 species